UAAAUCCAAUUCUAAAAACAGCUUUCAAGUUAACAGAGUAAAAAGUGCUACUUGGUCAACAAAUAUUUUAAUUGAAGCAUAGAUUUCAUAUUUCAAGAACUAAUAAAUUAACAUAAUUAAAACAUGAAAACCAAAAUCCCAUAAAAUGCAUGCAUUGAAAACUAUUAAUGUGAGGUAAUUAGUUUUCUAUCUCUAUGUAUAUAUAAUGACUAUUUUAAUAUAAUACCUUUGUUCAUAUAAUGAGAAGGGUAAAAUUGUUUUUUUAGGACUUUACAUUUUUUAGGAAUGUUCUGUCACUUGGUUUGUUGCACGAGGAGCAAUUAACAAAUAGCAUUCACACAAUCAGUUGGUGUGGAAUCCACUUCAAUGAUUAUAUAAUGGAUAUUUUAUUUAAUAGCAUCGGUACCCAAUUUGUAUACAUAUCAUCGGUACCCAAUUUCUUGCUCACUGUAGAACUGAUGAGUGUUUUUUUGAGAUUGGUGGAGAAAGCUUGAGAAUUUAUAAGCGUGAGUUUCAAGAAAAUGUUUUGGAAAUUGUUGGCAUUUCCCCUGAGCAGGCUGAAGCAAAAUUUGGCUAUCUUUUGGAGGCUUUAGACAUGGGUGCUCCUCCACAUGUAUUUUGAUGGAUAUGGAUAUCAUGGAGCAUCACUUGAGCAAACAUAUCGAUGUUACCCUACAUCUUUUAUUGAUAAGG